UAUGGGAGAGGUAGAUGGAAUUUCUGGUGUAGGGGUAAAAUCCGUAGAGAUUAGAAGGAAUACCGAUUGCGAAGGCGAUCUACUGGAACAUUAUUGACGCUGAGACGCGAAAGCGUGGGGAGCAAACAGGAUUAGAUACCCUGGUAGUCCACGCCCUAAACGAUGUACAUUAGUUGUUGCUAUGCUAGACAUAGCAGUAAUGCAGUUAACACAUUAAAUGUACCGCCUGGGGAGUACGGUCGCAAGAUUAAAACUUAAAGGAAUAGACGGGGACCCGCACAAGCGGUGGAGCAUGUGGUUUAAUUCGACGAUACGCGAAGAACCUUACCUGGCCUUGACAUAGAAAGAAUUUAGCAGAGAUGUAAAAGUGCUAGUUUACUAGAGCUUUCAUACAGAUGCUGCACGGCUGUCGUCAGCUCGUGUCGUGAGAUGUUAGGUUAAGUCCUGCAACGAGCGCAACCCUCGUGUUUAGUUACUAACAGAUUAUGCUGAGGACUCUAGACAUACUGCCUGGGCAACCAGGAGGAAGGUGAGGACGACGUCAAGUCAUCAUGGCCCUUACGGCCAGGGCUACACACGUGCUACAAUGGGGUAUACAAAGAGCAGCGAUACCGCGAGGUGGAGCAAAUCUCAUAAAAUAUCUCCCAGUUCGGAUUACACUCUGCAACUCGAGUGUAUGAAGUUGGAAUCGCUAGUAAUCGUAGAUCAAGCAAUGCUACAGUG
rnacentral:rRNA from 1 species